rnacentral:misc_RNA from 1 species
AAGGUUAUACAUUCAAAUUUCUUUAUUAAUUUUUAAUAAAUAAUUUAUAUUAAAUAUAAAAAUAUAUUUUUAAAAAAAAAAGACGACAAGACCCUAUUAAAUUUUACUUAUAGUUUAGCUGGGGAAGCUUUUUAAUUAAAAUUUUUUAAAUUUAAUAAAUAAAAAUCUAAUAAAAUUAAAAUUUUAAUAAAUUACUAUAGGGAUAACAGCAUUAUAUUUUUUUAAAGUUCAUAUUAAAAAAAAAGAUUGUGACCUCGAUGUUGAAUUAUAUUUUCUAUAUUUAAUGCAAUAAUUAUAAAAGUAGAUCUGUUCGAUCUUUAAAAUAUUACAUGAUUUGAGUUCAAACCGGUGUAAACCAGGUUGGUUUCUAUCUUUUUUUAUAUUUUUCUAGUACGAAAGGACAAAAAAAUUUUUAUUUUAAUAAAUUAGCAAAUAAAUGCAUUAGAUUUAGAAUCUAAAUAUAUUUAAUAAUU